GGUUGGUAUCAGAAGGGUGGAGAUCAUCUAAUCCAACCCCUUUGCUAAAGCAGGUUCACCUAGAGCAGGUUACACACAAUUAUGUCCAGAUCACCUCAUGCAAGGAGGCAAAGUGGAAAUUCAGCUUGUGGCCAUGAUCUUCCCAAGGACUGAAGAGGAUGACCUCUGAUGCCCUGGCCUCUUCCUCAAAGAGGGGGAAAAAAAAUCCUGAAAUCCCAAAAAAAGAGCAACAGUUGAAAUGGCGUUCUGUGCAGAGAGUUUCCACAAGGCACAGAGGUCUCUCCCUUGGGACUUCCUGGGAGAACUUCACCUGCCAGUUCCAGCAGACACAACGUACAAAGCCCUGGAAAGUCAGAAUUCAGCUUUUCCUGGUUCUGAGGACACCAUCCAGUCUGAAAGAAAAGCUCUGCUGAAGCUGCCAAAUUGGGCAGACUCUUCAAGAUUAAUUUUAUGCUCAUGUUGGUGCCACCCUCCCUUGCCACACAGAUUCUUCUUCUAUUCAACCCGUAGCUUAAACCACCAUGAAAAAGGAGCAAGCUGUGGAGUUUACAGAAGUCGAAGAGGAGACCUCCCCUCACUUCAGACCCCAAAGGCAGGGGUGCAAUUGAAGGAAAAAGCAGCAGCUGUCUGCAUUUUGUGCUGUUAGGGACAGUUCUGAAGCAUAUGGGAUGCAUUUAUUGUUAUGAAACCUCCCUGUAUCACAAGCCCUGAUAAGAGCAGGAUUGAGUGUUCCUAGCAAAAGCUUGAAUGUUUUGAUUUUUUGAACUUGCAGGAUUAAAAGAUCUUCUGUGCCUGGGAAGUUGUGUGGGUGGGAGGACAGAGCCAGAUGUUUGCCAAACCCUCCCUGAUAUUUUUCAUCUAUAUUUUUAUUAAAAUGGGAGCUGAAACAGCACACAGACUGAAAGUUUGGAUUUGGAUAAUUUUAUGGAUGA